rnacentral:rRNA from 1 species
GACGAACGCUGGCGGCGUGCUUAACACAUGCAAGUCGAACGGAAAGGCCCUGCUUGCAGGGUACUCGAGUGGCGAACGGGUGAGUAACACGUGGGUGAUCUGCCCUGCACUUCGGGAUAAGCCUGGGAAACUGGGUCUAAUACCGGAUAGGAGCCAUUUUUAGUGUGAUGGUUGGAAAGUUUUUUCGGUGUAGGAUGAACUCGCGGCCUAUCAGCUUGUUGGUGGGGUAAUGGCCUACCAAGGCGGCGACGGGUAGCCGGCCUGAGAGGGUGGACGGCCACAUUGGGACUGAGAUACGGCCCAGACUCCUACGGGAGGCAGCAGUGGGGAAUAUUGCACAAUGGGCGCAAGCCUGAUGCAGCGACGCCGCGUGGGGGAUGACGGCCUUCGGGUUGUAAACGCCUUUCGCUAGGGACGAAGCUUUUUGUGACGGUACCUAGAUAAGAAGCACCGGCUAACUACGUG